rnacentral:misc_RNA from 1 species
GUGAAUCAUCAAAUCUUUGAACGCAAAUUGCACUCUCUGGUAUUCCGGAGAGUAUGCCUGUUUGAGGGUCAGUUUAAAUAAAAAUCGGUGUGGUUGCUGCCUUUCGUGGUGACGCACCGGAUUUGGUUCGUCUUGCCUUGGGUUAAGUGACUUAAAUUUUUGAAUGAUUUUUUCGAAGUAAUUUAAUUGUUUUUACGUACGUUUGCGUUA